ACGGGUGAGUAAUGUCUGGGGAUCUGCCCGAUAGAGGGGGAUAACCACUGGAAACGGUGGCUAAUACCGCAUAACGUCGCAAGACCAAAGAGGGGGACCUUCGGGCCUCUCACUAUCGGAUGAACCCAGAUGGGAUUAGCUAGUAGGCGGGGUAAUGGCCCACCUAGGCGACGAUCCCUAGCUAGUCUGAGAGGAUGACCAGCCACACUGGAACUGAGACACGGUCCAGACUCCUACGGGAGGCAGCAGUGGGGAAUAUUGCACAAUGGGCGCAAGCCUGAUGCAGCCAUGCCGCGUGUAUGAAGAAGGCCUUCGGGUUGUAAAGUACUUUCAGCGGGGAGGAAGGCGAUGCGGUUAAUAACCGCGUCGAUUGACGUUACCCGCAGAAGAAGCACCGGCUAACUCCGUGCCAGCAGCCGCGGUAAUACGGAGGGUGCAAGCGUUAAUCGGAAUUACUGGGCGUAAAGCGCACGCAGGCGGUCUGUUAAGUCAGAUGUGAAAUCCCCGGGCUUAACCUGGGAACUGCAUUUGAAACUGGCAGGCUUGAGUCUUGUAGAGGGGGGUAGAAUUCCAGGUGUAGC
rnacentral:rRNA from 1 species